UACAGAGGGUGCGAGCGUUAAUCGGAAUUACUGGGCGUAAAGCGCGCGUAGGCGGCUUUGUAAGUCGGAUGUGAAAUCCCCGGGCUUAACCUGGGAACUGCAUUCGAGACUGCAUCGCUAGAGUAUGGGAGAGGGAAGUGGAAUUUCAGGUGUAGCGGUGAAAUGCGUAGAUAUCUGAAGGAACAUCAGUGGCGAAAGCGACUUCCUGGACCAAUACUGACGCUCAUGUGCGAAAGCGUGGGGAGCAAACAGG
rnacentral:rRNA from 1 species